rnacentral:rRNA from 1 species
GACGAACGCUGGCGGCGUGCUUAACACAUGCCAGUCGAACGGUGAAGCGCCUUCCUUUUUGGUGGGUGUGGAUGAGUGGCGAACGGGUGAGUAACACGUGAGUAACCUGCCCCCUUCUUCUGGAUAACCGCAUGAAAGUGUGGCUAAUACGGGAUAUUCUGGGUCUGUCGCAUGAUGGGUCUGGGAAAGAUAUUGUUUCGGUGGGGGAUGGGCUCGCGGCCUAUCAGCUUGUUGGUGGGGUGAUGGCCUACCAAGGCGGUGACGGGUAGCCGGCCUGAGAGGGUGGCCGGUCACACAGGGACUGAGACACGGCCGAGACUCCUACGGGAGGCAGCAGUGGGGAAUAUUGCACAAUGGGCGCAAGCCUGAUGCAGCGACGCCGCGUGAGGGAUGGAGGCCUUCGGGUUGUGAACCUCUUUCGCCAGUGAAGCAGGCCUGCCUCGUUUGUGGGUGGGUUGACGGUAGCUGGAUAAGAAGCGCCGGCUAACUACGUG